CCUACGGGGGGCUGCAGUAAGGAAUAUUGGUCAAUGGAGGAAACUCUGAACCAGCCAUCCCGCGUGAAGGAUGAAGGGGCUCUGCCUUGUAAACUUCUUUUGUCUGGGGCGAAAAAGCUCGAUUUAUCGAGAACUGACGGUACCAGAAGAAUAAGCACCGGCUAACUCCGUGCCAGCAGCCGCGGUAAUACGGAGUGUGCAAGCGUUCUCCGUAGUCCCUGGGUUUAGGCGGCGUAGAGAGGCAUUGGUGAAAGGCGGUGGCUUAACCAUGGAAUUGCCAUUGAUACUGCAGAGCUUGAAUGAGGUUGAGGUUGGCGGAAUGUGACAUGUAGCGGUGAAAUGCUUAGAUAUGUCAUGGAACACCGAUUGCGAAGGCAGCUGACUGGACCUAUAUUGACGCUGAGGCACGAAAGCGUGGGGAGCGAACAGGAUUAGAUACCCCGGUAGUC
rnacentral:rRNA from 1 species